GCCAUCAUAGCUUAGUGGUAGAGCAUCGGUCUUGUAAACCGAAGGUCGUGGGUUCGAUUCCCAUUGGUGGCU